UUAAGAUACAGCCUUUUUAGCUUGGUCCAUGGUGGCAGGUGCUGAGCUGGGGAGAUGAAGAACACUACGUGGAAAACCUUCAUACUCUAGCAACUUGUGUCUCUGACCUCACCUGAGCGCACGCUGACCACCCUGGCUGCAGAAAGAUGGCCUGACUGGAGGACUGAAUCACACACAUGCUGCUCCUGGCAAAGCUCGCGGGAUUUCGCUUCCGCCUAACCACAACACAUAUGUGAGCAGCCACUGUGAAAAUUAAUAGGGAUUUUGUUUCUUUCCUCUUCUGAUGCUUCGUACAGACCAAACCACCAUAGUUAACUGGAGCUGUGCCCAGGCUGCCUGAGCUGCAGCCUGGGGUUGGAAGGGGUGACAGAAAAUGGAGACAGAGACAGAAGCUCCAGCUGUGGACACACAAACAUCUUCCCUCCCCCAUCGCCAUCUGGCUGUGGUUUGGAUGCUAUUAACACUGCUGUAAAAGGCAGGCAUCUGACACUGUCGUUGGUGCCACUUGUGACGUCAGUGGUGCUGCUUGCUGCCUCAAUGGUGCCACUUGUUACUGCUCACACUCACCUUCUGUCAUCAGACCAUCUGUGGAGAAAUGAGAAUCAGAUUCAGGUAUGCCUCUAUUCAGACGCUGAGAAAGAACAUCCUCGGAAGCAUUACACUGCUAAAUUCUGAGCCACGCAGAGACAAACUAAGAAGCACUAAUGAAGGUAUUUCUCAACUCGUUAGGGAAGAGAUUUCAUUUUCAGAGAAUUGAGAGCAGGCAAUUUUCCUGGUCUCAGGGAAAACCCCACGAGGGUGCAAAGUGCAUUUAGAAUCUAAAGCAACAUUAAAAGCAUAAAUUAAGCAUGAGAUUACUCCACAGCCUAGUCGAUGAUGUCUAAUACUAUUAAAAUCUAAAUGUCUCCAUCUCACAGGC
rnacentral:lncRNA from 1 species